rnacentral:rRNA from 1 species
GACGAACGCUGGCGGCGGGCUUAACACAUGCAAGUCGAACGGCAACACCCUGCUAGCUUGCGGUUAUGGAGGGGGAAAGGGGUAAGUAACACGUAAGUAACCUACUCUACAUUUUCGGAUGACUUCAGGAAACGGAAGCUAAUAUCAUAUAGGAUCUCAUGCUGGAGUGAAGGGAGUGGAAAUUCUCGCCUUGCGGGGAUGGACUCGCGGCUGAUCGAUUUGGUAGUUGGCGGGGUGAAGACCAACGGAGUGGACGGUACGUAGCCGGUCUGAGUGGAUGAUCAGCCACACGGGAACUGAGACACGGUCCUGACGCCUCCGGGAGGCAGCAGUGAGGAAUAUUGUACAAUGGGCGCAAGCCUGAUCCAGCCAUACCGCGUGGGUGAAGAAGUCCUUCGGGUUGUAAAGCCCUUUUGUUGGGAAAGAAAAGCAGCAGGUUAAUACCCCGCUGUUCUGACGGUACCCAAAGAAUAAGCACCGGCUAGCUUCGUG